rnacentral:rRNA from 1 species
GACGAACGCUGGCGGCGUGCCUAAUACAUGCAAGUCGAACGAACGGAUAAAGAGCUUGCUCUUUUGAAGUUAGUGGCGGACGGGUGAGUAACACGUGGGUAACCUGCCUCACAGCUGGGGAUAACAUCGAGAAAUCGAUGCUAAUACCGAAUGUGCUGAACAUCAUAAGAUGUUCAAGUGAAAGACGGUUUCGGCUGUCACUGUGAGAUGGACCCGCGCUGGAUUAGCUAGUUGGUAAGGUAAUGGCUUACCAAGGCGACGAUCCAUAGCCGACCUGAGAGGGUGAUCGGCCACAUUGGGACUGAGACACGGCCCAAACUCCUACGGGAGGCAGCAGUAGGGAAUCUUCGGCAAUGGACGAAAGUCUGACCGAGCAACGCCGCGUGAGCGAAGAAGGCCUUCGGGUCGUAAAGCUCUGUUGUUAGAGAAGAACAUGGGUGAGAGUAACUGUUCACCCCUUGACGGUAUCUAACCAGAAAGCAACGGCUAACUACGUG